GGCCAGUCCCGAACUAGAUCAGAGCAGGCAGGAGCACAGAUCCUUUUCAAUUCUUUACUCAAAAGUCCUGAAGAGGCCGACUGGUGCAUACUGAACACAGGUACUGAAACAGCCUGGAAAGUCCUCCAGGAUGGAAUGCAAAGCUGGUUCUCAGCCAUCCUCAGGCCUGCUUCUCUUUGGUGGAUUGAGAAGAUAAAAAGAAAAUCCUGCAGAAGAUGGCUAAAAUGCACUAAAGCGAAAGAAAACUAGUGAGACAGAAAAUGUAGUUCAGUGGAAAGGAAGAGAUGUCCCUAUCUAUGGCCCUGUGGCCACAGAACAACCUAAGUAAGAACACUCUCCAUGCUUAGUGUUGCUGAAGAGCUAAGGCAGCCUGGAUAGGAACAGACUGGUAUGGAAGGAAGCAGAGGACUCAGGCAGUGAGAAGGCUCCACUCAGCUGGGAGACAGAGAAAGAAAGGCUGUAGGGGUCAGCCUAGGUCAGGGGCAGCACCAGGAGCUGUAGGGCUCCAUGCUUCCUAGAGAAGACAAUGCUGAACUAAGACCGGGAGCUGGGAGCUGAAAGGGGCAGAAGGGAGAAGGAGACAGCACGCUAUCAAGGUCCAGGGGAUUCGGAACAGCACCCACAAAACUGGUGCACUCCAGUGUGGAGGAGGCAGAAGCUGCGGCACCUAGCUCUCUAGCAUGGAUAACUGGGUGGAUGGGUACCAUGUUUACCCUGGUAUCCAGCAGAAAACCAGACACCCAAAUUUGCAGCUGCUGGCUUACAAGACGUUUUAGUGGGGGUAAAUUCUUCCUAAGCAACGAGCUUGCACUGGCUCUCUGGACUUCACUCCCUCCAGAGUCAUCUUCCAUUUCUUCCUCCUGCCUCUGACCUGAUGUACCACAGCCUGUCAGGCUAGCCACAGCCUUAUGUUUCUUUCUGUAAAUAUUGUUAUAUUUUUUUAUUAGCAGGUACAAAUUGCAUGCAUCCGUACAUUCAAUGUUACAUUUGAAUACACGCGUACAGUGUGCUGAUCAAAGCCAGUGCUCAUUUAUCUCCCCUCCCCUUCCCAACCUCUGCUCAUCCCUAUUCUACAUUUGGUUCUACUUCCUCAAGUGCCUGAAAAUGAGAGAACACACGGUAUCUGGCUCAUUUUACUUGACAGCAACCCCCAAACGCCUCUCAGCUUAGCCAACAUCAACUCAAAACACAUCAAAGACCUAAAAAUAAGACCCCAAACUAGACAACUACUAGAUGAAAACAGGGAAAAAAACUUCAAGACAUCCGUGUACUCAACAGGAUGGCCAAAUGGGCUGGCAACAAACAAAAUCACGCUGCAAAGGAAAUACAAGCAAUGGAGCAGACAGGCGUCCACAGAACGGAAAAAUACGUAACAGCUGCUCAUCUGACAAAGAUUAAUACUACCAACUACUUAAGGAACUCACAACAAAUCCCUCAGGUCAUCGAAACCAAGGAUCAGCAAACAGGGGCUGAAUGAUGGCUCCAGGGUCAUCAGGACCUAAGUUUGAAUCUUCAGCACCCACAUAAGAAAGCUGGCCUUGGUAGCACACUUGUGAUCUUGGGACUGGGGAGACAGAGACAGGAGACAACUUGGAGCUCACUGGCCAGUGAGCUGAGCCUGAUUGGUGAGUCCUAGGUCUCAGUGAAAGACUCGGUCUCAAAAACCAAUGUGAUGACCCCUGAGGAAUGAUACCCAAGAUCGACUUCUGGUCUCUACUCAUAUGUACAUACAUGCUUGUACUCCUGUGCAUAUUCAUGAGCACACACAGGCAUAAACUGAGUUCCAAGCUACUAUGGAAGGUUCAGGAAAACAGGAAACACACACUUACAAAUCAGCUGGAGAACCUCUCAAGAAAUACACAUGGCUGACAAAGACAACUCAGUUAUUUCCAAUUCAGGUCCCACUGGCCACCAGGGAGCAUUGGCCUCUCUUCCCCUAAAGAAGGGGCACAUAUUCUGCCUCCAUUGUCUUUCAGUAGCAUCAUCACUGCUAAUGCCUCUGCAGUGAUUUGUCAUCAAUUUCCUUGGAACUUUACAGUUAUAGCAACAAUAAGGCUUAUACCCAACAGAACCAUUAUGAUUCCUCACAACUAAUGUGAUUAGUGCUUUUGUUCAUUUGUGUUUGAAACCCAUUAGCAUAAAAUUUAUAUCCAAUAAUAA